rnacentral:rRNA from 1 species
AUAAGGAGUCGGACCUGCCCAGUGAAUAAAUUUAAACGGCCGCGGUACUCUGACCGUGCAAAGGUAGCAUAAUCAUUUGCCCUAUAAUUGAGGGCUAGUAUGAAUGGUUUGACAAGAAUAAAGCUGUCUCUUUAUAAUUAUAUAGAAUUUUAUUUUUAGGUGAAGAAGCCUAAAUAAAAUUAAAAGACAAGAAGACCCUAUCGAGCUUAAAAUAAAUUAGUAAGUAAACAAUAAUAUUUAUUUAAAAAAAUAUUUAUUAAAAAUUUUGGUUGGGGCGACUAAGGAACAUAUAAAGCUUCUUUUAUAUUAAAUUACUAAUGAGUAUUGAUCCAAAAAAUAUUGAUUAAAAAAAUUAGUUACCGUAGGGAUAACAGCAUUAUCUUUUUUGAGAGUUCAUAUCGAAAAAAAGGUUUGUGACCUCGAUGUUGGACCAGAAUGUCCUAAAGAUGCAGAAGUCUUUAAGGGUUGGUCUGUUCGACCAUUAAAAUUCUA